rnacentral:rRNA from 1 species
UACAGAGGUCCCGAGCGUUUGUUCGGAUUCAUUGGGCGUAAAGGGUGCGUAGGCGGCGGGGAAAGUCUGAUGUGAAAUCCUGGGGCUCAACCCUGGAACUGCAUUGGAUACUUCCUUGCUAGAGUACUGGAGAGGAAACUGGAAUUUACGGUGUAGCAGUGAAAUGCGUAGAGAUCGUAAGGAAGACCAGUGGCGAAGGCGAGUUUCUGGACAGUUACUGACGCUGAGGCACGAAGGCCAGGGGAGCAAACGGG